GCCGUAGCCCUGAGGCGCCCCGGCUGAGCGGGGUAAAGCGCCCCGUCCUUCGCCCGGGCGAGUUCCCGGGACGAGGGGCUGCGGCCCCGUCAGGCGCAGGGCUGAACCCGGGGCCGAAGGAUGCGCGCCGCGAUGCCGAGGUGAGUCGGGCGGUGCUGCUCCCUCAUCCUGCGUGAGGCUGCUCCGCCUCGGCAGCGGCACUCCCUGCCCUGCUCUGCCCUUUUCCCGAGGCUCGGAACUAUCCAAACGAGUCGAGCAAACACCGGGUCACCGCAGUGCCCCAAGACACUCCACAUGGCCCAAAAGCACGGCAUCCCGACAUUCCACGCGCACCAGAAUAUCUCCCCUGGAUCUGUAUGCGGUUCCUUUGAACGAGUCCAAUAAGCGCCCUGCUAGGAAGUGCCUCUCCUCCGUGCGGCCUCGCUCAGAAGAAGACAGACAUCUGAUCCACAUUAAACACAGAACCCCUCUCUCAUCCUUACGUGCGCUUCUUAUUGAGGUCUCUGUCAAAACUACACCACUUAAUCGCUUCGCUUUAUGGUUUGCUCUUUGUAAAAGUAAAAUCAGAUAAAAGUGUGUUGUCUUUGAUGCCAAGUUGGCUUUAGCAACGUUUCCCUUUCUAAAAGUAUCCUUCCUCCUCUUUGCUCUUAACUGUGACAGCUCCUCCUUAGCUUUGAGGCCAGUUCUGAAAGCUGCGCUAUAGGAAAAGGGCAGUCACGGCUUUGGAAGCGCUGCGGUUUCACCCCGUCCUGUAAUUCAGACCCGAGAAGUAUUUGGAGAGAACUGGGUUGGACUGUAGCCACGCUGGGCUUUCUGGGCCUUAUCUGCAGGAACAGGAAACUCGCAUCGCUCCAUGCGUGUAAUACAUUAAUUAGAUGCAUGUCAGGGGCGGACAGGUGGGUGGGCUGAGGCCUGGGAGGGUCACAAGCUCUUGCACUAUUACCAUAUAAAGUGCUGAGCUAUAUAUAUCCCCCAGUCUGCUCCCAAGAUCCCUGUCCUCCGAACUGCAAACCCAGCAAGUAUCAUCUUCCAGUUUUCUCUCACGCAGGACUGAACUUUUCUUUGAGAUGUGAAAUCAUCCCCGUUUUUUCCAGGAAUAAAAACUAGGAGAAGGGACUUCACAACUCUCCUGCAGAAACAACCAGCAGCCCAUAUUCUCCUGCAUCUGUGGGAUGUACAGGAUGUCCCAGCAGUCCCUCUCCCAGCCUAGUUGCUGUUAGCUCUCUGAUUCUGUCUCAUCGACUAUCACAGCACUACUGUUCCAACCCAAGCUAUUUUUCCCAUCAUCUGAAUUGACAAUCCACAGCAAAUGGAACAACAGCAAGUACACACAAAAAGCACGUGUUGAGUGAGCAGAAACCCAAUCAAUGCCUGGGACAAUGUGCAAAUCUCAUGCAAGGAGGCAGCGCUGUGUCUCCCACCUCCCUGCCCAGGAGGUGCCAGGAGCCUGAGCCCAGCACGGCCGCAGAGCACUGCCUGGCUGUCCUGUGCAGUGGAGGUGCCUGUUCCUUGUAUGAAGGGGGUGGUGGAAGGGACAGGGGUAACUUACAUCUGUGGCCUUUUUGUCAGCCAGUUCCAACUUUUCCUGUGCAUCUUUAAGGGACUCGGAGUAUUUGUCCAGCUCAUCCUCAGUGCCCUUCAGCUUCUUUUGCAGAGCCACCAGCUC